AGUCGAAUGGUAACAGGAAACAGCUUGCUGUUUCGCUGACGAGUGGCGGACGGGUGAGUAAUGUCUGGGAAACUGCCUGAUGGAGGGGGAUAACUACUGGAAACGGUAGCUAAUACCGCAUAACGUCGCAAGACCAAAGAGGGGGACCUUCGGGCCUCUUGCCAUCAGAUGUGCCCAGAUGGGAUUAGCUAGUAGGUGGGGUAACGGCUCACCUAGGCGACGAUCCCUAGCUGGUCUGAGAGGAUGACCAGCCACACUGGAACUGAGACACGGUCCAGACUCCUACGGGAGGCAGCAGUGGGGAAUAUUGCACAAUGGGCGCAAGCCUGAUGCAGCCAUGCCGCGUGUAUGAAGAAGGCCUUCGGGUUGUAAAGUACUUUCAGCGGGGAGGAAGGGAGUAAAGUUAAUACCUUUGCUCAUUGACGUUACCCGCAGAAGAAGCACCGGCUAACUCCGUGCCAGCAGCCGCGGUAAUACGGAGGGUGCAAGCGUUAAUCGGAAUUACUGGGCGUAAAGCGCACGCAGGCGGUUUGUUAAGUCAGAUGUGAAAUCCCCGGGCUCAACCUGGGAACUGCAUCUGGUACUGGCAAGCUUGAGUCUCGUAGAGGGGGGUAGAAUUCCAGGUGUAGCGGUGAAAUGCGUAGAGAUCUGGAGGAAUACCGGUGGCGAAGGCGGCCCCCUGGACGAAGACUGACGCUCAGGUGCGAAAGCGUGGGGAGCAAACAGG
rnacentral:rRNA from 1 species